rnacentral:rRNA from 1 species
AGCCGCGGUAAUACGUAGGGUCCAAGCGCUGUCCGGAAUUAUUGGGCGUAAAGGGCUCGUAGGCGGCCCGUCGCGUCUGGUGUGAAAGCCCACUGCCUAACGGUGGGUCUGCGCUGGAUACGGGCGGGCUGGAGUGCGGUAGGGGAGAACGGAAUUCCCGGUGUAACGGUGGAAUGUGUAGAUAUCGGGAAGAACACCGAUGGCGAAGGCAGUUCUCUGGGCCGUCACUGACGCUGAGGAGCGAAAGCGUGGGGAGCAAACAGGAUUAGAUACCCUGGUAGUCCACGCCGUAAACGGUGGAUGCUGGAUGUGGGGCCCAUUUCCACGGGCUCCGUGUCGGAGCCAACGCGUUAAGCAUCCCGCCUGGGGAGUACGGCCGCAAGGCUAAAACUCAAAGAAAUUGACGGGGGCCCGCACAAGCGGCGGAGCAUGCGGUUUAAUUCGAUGCAACGCGAAGAACCUUACCUGGGUUUGACAUGUGGGCGACGGGCCGGGAGACCGGCCUUCCCUUCGGGGCGCCCUCACAGGUGGUGCAUGGCC